AAAGCUUUUCUGGAAAAUAUUUUCGUCAUUUUUCGCUGUUUGUUUGGUGGAAAAUAAACUCCCACUAUAAAUGCUUUUCCAAAACACAGGAAAAUCACGUCUUCUUUUGGGAAAAUGUCUUACACUUUUUUUUUCGGUAAGACAUUUUCCAAAACACGGGAAAACGCCUUCUCCCCUUCCCCUUCCCCUUGGGUUGCAAAUCAGUGCCAUUGCCAGGAACCCUACCCCCGCCCUAAAUUCCUUAAGAGUUGCGCGAUUUCGAAGAACGAUGAUGAGAAAGUUUGGUCAAGGACCAACGCUAGGGCCGGUGUUAAAGAUGUCAGCAGUACAGUUUCGGGUUUGAGCCAAAACUUGAGUUUGUACGUACAAUUUUCGGCUCUGGUGAAGCGAGGAUCGAAGCCUGACAAAGAGGAAGAGGAGAAGUAGGAUUAUUACAUGAAUAUGGGUUACGCUAUUCGGACCUUGAGAGAGGAGUUCCCAGACAUCUUCUACAGAGAGCUCAUUUUUUAUAUUUACAGUUGAGAAGAUAUUUGAUGAGCUAACGCAAAUGAAAGCCAUAUUUGACAGAGUGAUUACGCAAAGAAACACCGUUGCUGCCAAAUACAUCUCUUUGAAAUGAAAUACUCAUAGAGGGAAUGAUUUCAAUGCUUUGAACGGUACAAAAAUCAGAUUCCUAAUGUAACUGUCAUUGAUACUCCAUGCAUUUUGAAAGGUGGCUUCAUAAGAGAUGAAGACUUCACCAGAAAGUUGGAAUCAAGAAUAUGGUUGUACACAACAUAGAUGAGAAACUUUUUCUUCUUUAUUUUUUUAGUGUAGGAAGCAUCAAAUAGUUGAUUGCUCAUCAUCUUCUCGCUAAUGGAGCCAUAAGAGAAAUUCAAUUGGAUUUUAGGGUCAGCAAAUUGAAUGUUAAUAAAUGUACAGAUGAAGAAACUGGAUUGAGGUUCUCCUUUCAUUUUUAUGUCCCUCUUCCUUAUCUAAUUUCAACUCUCUGUUGUUGGUUGUUUUAA